UCUGUGCGGCGAGCGCCCCUGAAAACUUGAUGUGUUACUCGCUAACUCUUUCUAAUGAGUCGGUUUUGAGUGUCAACCCAGGUUGAGAAUGAGUUCGAAUGUCUUAGUGCCUAUCUGUUAUCUUGUCCCUGACUAGGGUAACAGAGGGCUGGUGAUUCCUACAUCU
rfam:Mucor circinelloides f. lusitanicus CBS 277.49 MTCCIscaffold_05, whole genome shotgun sequence.